GGCCAGCGGAGGCCCAGGGCUGCUGAGAGCAACUGCUGGGAGGGCAGGAGCUCUGGGGAGGGCGGGGCGACUGGCAGGGGCGCGCUCCCCGACUUCCCACAGGCGCGCGCAUGCCUGCGUGUCAGGGCGCGCGCUCCCCUUCUCGGACAGAGGCGACCCCAGUCCGUGAGCUGCUUGGAUCCUCGCCCGUUCCCUCCUGGUCGUUUCCGCAGUAACCUCUUAUCGGAGCGGGCAGCUUUGAAGAGGAAGAAGAGGGGAAACUUCAUCUUCAGUUGAAAAAAAGGAGUGAAAAACAAAGCACAGAAAGAGAGGGGCUUGCCUGCUAAGCCAGCAAAUAAGCUUUUACUCAAAAAUGUCUUGUUGGGCAUCUACUGUGAUCUCAGCAUUUUAAAGGAUACUUUGGAGGUGUGCCCUCAAGAAUCCAUCUUUCAGUGUGAGAAGGCCUAAACAACUGCACCACAAAGCGUUAAUUACAGUGACAGCACUGUCAGAAGGAAUAGCUAAAUCUGCCUGGGAGUCAGAGAAGGUUUUGCAGCCAUGAUGAUAUUUGAGCUGCGUGUUGAAGGCCCAUGAACCCUCUGCAUCUCUUGGAUUGGACUACAGCCUUUGUGAUGCUGUAGAAGAACCUCUUCUUGCAAGAUCAUUCAUUCGUGCCUUGAGACAGUAUGACUCAAGCUGACUUUUUUUUUUCCCAAGGAGUUUUUAAGUAAGUAAAUGAAUACACCAGUCAGGAGAUGGAAGAGAAGUCCAGCCUGGAGAUGCAAAUAUAGAAGAUUCCAGUGGGCACUAAUGGAAACGGAGAGAAAGACAAACAAGAGGUCCCUGCUAGCUCCCUGUGUACUGCAGAAGUGGUGUAGGCUGUGCUCCGAACUUAGAGAGAAGGAAAAGAGGACAACCCCUCUAUCCCCAGAUUCCCUCCCAGCCCUGUUCUGCCAGUCAGCUGAUUGGAAACAAGAGAGAAGGGAGGCCUGUGGUGACCUCUUGACACCAGGGGAAAACCUGACCCUAGAAAAAUCAGCUCCAUCAAUAUCAUGUGAUCUUAC